rnacentral:rRNA from 1 species
UGGGGAAUAUUGCGCAAUGGGCGAAAGCCUGACGCAGCGACGCCGCGUGGAGGAUGAAGGUUUUCGGAUUGUAAACUUCUGUUAGGUGGGAAGAAAUGCACAGUUCUAAUACAACUGUGAGAUGACGGUACCAUCAAAGAAAGCACCGGCUAACUUCGUGCCAGCAGCCGCGGUAAUACGAAGGGUGCGAGCGUUAUUCGGAGUGAUUGGGCGUAAAGGGUGCGUAGGCUGUGUGUUAAGUCAACUGUCAAAUUUCCCAGCUUAACUGGGAGCAGGCGGUUGAAACUGGCAUGCUAGAGGGUGGAAGAGAGAAGUGGAAUUCUCGGAGUAGCGGUAAAAUGCGUAGAUCUCGAGAGGAACACCGAUGGCGAAGGCAGCUUCUUGGUCCACAUCUGACGCUGAUGCACGAAAGCGUGGGGAGCAAACAGGAUUAGAUACCCCCGUAGUCC